AGAAAUGCCAAAUGUGGGUGAAGGGGAGGAAGGCAGCAAAACACACUACCACGUGUGUAAUAUGCAACUAUCUUGCAUGUUCUGCACAUGUACCCCAAAACCUAAAAUGCAAUUAAAAAAAAGAAAAGAAAGAAAGAAAGAAAGAAAGAAAGAAAGAAAGAAAGAAAGAAAGAAAGAGAAAGAAAGGUAAAUGUAAAUUAAUCUUGUAUCCUGCAGCCUUAAUAUAAUUGCUUAUUAUUUCUGUGAAACAUUUUUUUGGUAUCUCAAAUUUUCUAAAUAGACAAUUAUGCUACCAAAGACAGUUUGAUUGCUUCCUUUCCAAUCUGUAUACCUUUCGUUUCUUUUUCUUGCCUUAUUGCAUUCCAUUGUUUUGUUGAAAAGCCAUAGUGAAAAGAGACAUUUUUUCCUUGUUCUUUAUCUUAGUGGGAAAGUUUUGAGUUUUUCAUCAUUAAAUAUGAAUGUUAGCUGUAUAUGUUUUGUAGACAUUUUUAAUCAAAUUGAAGAAAUAUUUUACACGUAUUUUAUUAAAUUUACUCUUUUUUUUUGAGAUGGAGUUUUGCUCUUGCUACCCAGGCUGGAGUGCAAUGGCGUGAUCUUGGCUCACCGCAAUCUCCGCCUCCUGGAUUCAGGCAAUUCUCCUGCCUCAGCCUCCUGAGCAGCUGGGAUUACAGGCACGCGCCACCAUGCCCAGCUAAUUUUUUGCAUUUUUAGUAGAGACGGGGUUUCACCAUGUUGACCAGGAUGGUCUCGAUCUGUUGACCUCGUGAUCCACCCGCCUCGGCCUCCCAAAGUGCUGGGAUUACAGGCGUGAGCCACCGCGCCCGGCCAUUUACUCUUAAAUUAUAUUAGUCAGGGUUCUUUAGAGGAACAGAACUAAUAGGAUAGAUGUAUAUAUGAAGGGGAGUUUAUAAGAGAAUUGACUCACAAGAUCACAAGGUGAAGUGCCGCAGUAGGCUGCCUGCAAACUGAGGGUCCAGAAAGCCAGUCAGAGCCCAAAACCUCAAGAGUAGGAAAGCUGAUAGUACAGCCUUCAGUCUGUAGCUGAAGGCCUGAGAGCCCCUGGCAAGUCACUGGUCUAAGUCCAAGACUCCAAAAGCUGCAGAACAUGGAAUCUGAUGUUCGAGGGCAGGAAGCAUCCAGCAUGGGAGAAAGAUGGAGGCCAGAAGACUUAGCCAGUUUAGUCUUUUCACAUUCUUCUGCCUGCCUUUAUUCUGCCCACACUGGCAGCUGAUUAGAUGGUGCCCACCCAGGUUGAGGGUGGGUCUGCCUUUCUCAGUCCACUGACUCGAAUGUUAAUCUCCUUUGGCAACACGGUCACAGACACACCCAGAAAUAGUACUUUUCAUUCUUCAAUCCAAUUAAGUUAACACUCAAUAUUAACCAUUAUAUAAGUACUUUAUGUUUUUGAUGCUAUCAUCAGUGCUAUUUAAUUUUCAGUUAUCAUUUGUUUUGUAAGUAUGUAGAAAUGAAAUUAAUUAUAUAAUUAAUAUUAAAUUCUGAGUAUUGCUAAACUCUUCUACUAGUUCAAGUGGCACUAGCAAGUAAUUUUGUGGAUUCCUUACGAAUUUCUAAGUUUACAAAUAUUCCCAUAAAAUGAUUUAUCUUCAGUAUUAGUGUCUUCUGUUUCUUUUUCUUGCCUUACUUAAGUGGCUGGGGCUUUUAGUACAAUAUUGAAUAUAUAGUGAUUUUUUUCCCAAUCUUGGGUGAAAUGAUAUUAGUGUUUCAUCCAUACAUAUAAUGAUAGAUGUAGAUUUGUCUUACAUGCCUUUUAUUGGGCUGAGAAAGUUCCCAUAACUCUUAAGUUUGGUGCUUUUAAUUGUGAAUAGCUAUGGAAUUUUGUCAAAAGCUUUUUCUGUAUCUAUUAUAAUAAUCAUUAGGUUUUUCUCUUUUAUUCUGUUGAUAUGGUGAAUUGCAGUGAUUUCUUUUCAAAUGGUAAAUCAUCCUUGCAUCACUGAGAUAAACCCUAACAUGAUGUAUUAUCUAUUUAAAAAGUGCUAAACUUGAUUGGCUAAAAUUUUGUUAAACAGGUUCUUUGUUUUGUUUUGUUUAUUUGUUUGAGAUGGAAUUUUGCUCUUCCCCCAACCUGGAGUGCAAGGCAGGAUCUUUACUCACUGCAACCUCUGUCUCAUGUGUUCAAGUGAUUCUCAUACCUCGGCCUCCAGAGUAGCUGGAAUUACAGGCAUGCACCACCAUACCCAGCUAAUUUUUGUAUUUUUAGUAGAGGUGGGCUUUUGCCAUGCUGGCCAGGCUUGUCUUGAACUCCUGACCUCAGGUAAUCUGCCUGCCUCAUCCUCCCAAAGUACUUGUAUUACAGGUGUGAGCCACUGUGCCAGGCUUGUUCAACAUUUUAAUGUUGAUGUUUAUGAAAGUUUCUAGUGUGUCAUUUUCUCAAAGACUUUGGUUUUGAAAUAAAUUUAGUAAACGAUCUGGUGUUUGGGGAGUAUACUUACUUUAUCAGAAGGUUUUUAAUUACAAAUUCAAUUUCUUUAAUAGAAACACACUUAUUCAGAUUUUCUAUUUCUUUUUUAGUUGAUUUUGGCAGUUCAAAAAACACAGUUUACCUAUUUCUUUGAGGUGGUUAAAAUUAUUGUUAUGAAGGUGCUUAUAAUAUUCUCUUAUUAUUCUUUAAUAACUGUAAUGGUAUCACAUUUUUCAGUUCUUAUGUCAGCAAUUUGGGUCUCCUUUAAUCUUUGAUUAUGCUAGCUAAAGAUUUAUUAUUUCUUUAAAGUAUUUAUCAAGAUUUUAAAAAUCCUAUUCUUGCUUUAGUUACUACACAUACUGUUUUUCUAUUUUAUUGAUUUUUGCUCUCAUCUGUAUUAUUUCCCAUUUUCUGCUUACAUUGAAUUUAUUUUCUAAUUUAUAUUUUUCAAAUGAAAGCUCAGAUAAUUGAUUUUGCAACUUGUUUCAUUUUUAUGCAGAUUUUUAAAGCUAUAUUUUUUCCUCCUAAUGGUGGUGUUAUCUGUAUCCUACAUAUUUGGAUAUAUCUUAAAAUUUUUUUCAUUGUCUAUUAUGGCUUAUUUCUCACUAGGACAUAGAAGUGAUGUUUUGUUUUGCUUUUUACAAAUACUUAGGGUUUUUCAUAUAUUUUUCUGUUAUGUUUCAUUUAAUACUAUUGUAGUCAGAGAAUAUACUCUGUUUAAUUUCAGCCCUCAAAUAUAUUGAAACUUAUAGCCUAAAAUAUGGUAUAUCUUGGUGGAUGUUUCUUAUACACUUAAAUGUAGAUUCUGCUUUUCUUAGGUGAAUGUUUAUAAAUUUUAUUUAUGUCAGGUGGUUUUUAAUGCCAUUUAGGUCUUCUCUAUCCAUUCUGGUUUUUUGUCUACUUAUUGUAUCAAUUACUGAAAGACCAGUGUUUCAGUCUCCAUAGUAAUUGUAGAUUUGCCUAUUUUUCUAUCCUGUUUUGUGAGCUUUUAUUUAAUGUGUAUUAAAACUCUAAUGUGGGAUUCAUAUAGGUUUAGAAUUGUUUUAUCUUCUUGACUGAUUGACAGUUAUAUCAUUAUAAAAUUUAUCACUAGAAAUAUUACAUAGUUUGAAGUCUCUAUGAUCUGAAGUUAGUCAUUCUAUUCUUAUGAUUACUAUUUGCAUGGUAAAUAUUUUUAAAUUAUUUAAAUUUAACCUUUCUGUGCUGUAAGUUUUUAGAGUUAGUAUUUAUAGACAGAUUUUGUGCCAUCUGAUAAUUGUUACAUUUUAAUUGGAAAUGUAAGUGCAUUUAUUUUUAAUGUAAGAGUUUAUAUGGUUGCAUUUAAGUCUACAUUAUUGCUAUUUGCUUUCUUUUAAAUUCAUUAUUUAUCCUAUUGCUUUCCCUUUUUCUUGCCUUCUUUUUUGAUUAACUGGGUAUGUUUUAGGAAUUUAUUUUAUCUCUUCUAUUGGCAUAUUAUUUAUAAUUCUCUGUUUUAUUUUCUAAGUGAUUGCUUUGGUAUUGAUUGGCAGCAUGAAUUUUUUUCUGGAUAUAAAAUUAUAAAUUGGGAGAUUUUUGGAGAGCCAAGACCUUGAGUAUGUUGUUCAUAUUUAUUUAGUUUCUGGUAAGAAGUGUAUUGUUAUUUUUAUCUUUAUUCCACCUUAUGUAAAAUGUCUUUUUUUUUCUGGCUACCUGUAAGAUUUUCUCUUUAUCGUUACUUUCAGUAAUUUAAUUGUAAUGCGCCUCUGACUCUGUAUGUGUGUGUUUCCCUUGAUUGCACUUGAUUAAGGUUUCUGUCUUUGAGUUCAUAGCUUUCAUCAUAUUGGGAAAACUUGGAAACAUUACUUCUCAAACAGUUAUUAUAUCAUUUUGUGUCUCUCUUCACCUUCUGGGGCUCCAAAUGUGCAUAUGACAGAUAGUUUAAUGUUAUUCCACAAAUUUCUGAGAUUCUUUUUAUUUUUCUUUUUAACUGUUCUUUAUGUUUUACGUUUCUAUUGUUAUACCCUCAAGUUCACUGAUUUUCUUUUUUCUUUUUGAUACAGGCUCUCACUCUGUGGCCCAGGCUGGAAUGCAGUGGCACAAUCUCAACUCACUGCAAACUCCACCUUGGAGGCUCGGGUGAUUCUUUCAUCUCAGCCUCCUGAGUAGCUGAGACUACAGUGAGGACACGAAGAGAAGAUGGCCAUUCUUAAACCAGGAAGGGGUUCCCAUCAGACAUCAAAGCUGCUGAUGCCUACAUCUUGGACUUCCCAGCCUCCAGAAAUGUGAAAAAUAAAAUUCUGUUUUUUAAA